AACGAACGCUGGCGGCAUGCCUAACACAUGCAAGUCGAACGAGACCUUCGGGUCUAGUGGCGCACGGGUGCGUAACGCGUGGGAACCUGCCCUUAGGUUCGGAAUAACUCCCCGAAAGGGGUGCUAAUACCGGAUAAUGUCUUCGGACCAAAGAUUUAUCGCCUUUGGAUGGGCCCGCGUUGGAUUAGCUAGUUGGUAGGGUAAAAGCCUACCAAGGCGACGAUCCAUAGCUGGUAUGAGAGGAUGAUCAGCCACACUGGGACUGAGACACGGCCCAGACUCCUACGGGAGGCAGCAGUGGGGAAUAUUGGACAAUGGGCGAAAGCCUGAUCCAGCAAUGCCGCGUGAGUGAUGAAGGCCUUAGGGUUGUAAAGCUCUUUUACCCGGGAUGAUAAUGACAGUACCGGGAGAAUAAGCCCCGGCUAACUCCGUG
rnacentral:rRNA from 1 species